rnacentral:rRNA from 1 species
CUGCAGCUCAAGUGGUGACCACUAUUAUUGGGCCUAAAACGUUCGUAGCCGGUUUGGUAAAUGCCUGGGUAAAUCGUGUAGCUUAACUAUACGAAUUCCGGGUAGACUGCCAAACUUGAGACCGGGAGAAGCUAGAGGUACUCCUGGGGUAGAGGGGAAAUUCUGUAAUCCUGGGGGGACCACCAGUGGCGAAGGCGUCUAGCUAGAACGGGUCUGACGGUGAGGAACGAAGCCCUGGGGCGCAAACCGGAUUAGAUACCCGAGUAGUCC